rnacentral:rRNA from 1 species
GGCUAUGACUCCUACGGGGAGCAGCAGUAGGGAAUCUUCCACAAUGGGCGCAAGCCUGAUGGAGCAACACCGCGUGAGUGAAGAAGGGUUUCGGCUCGUAAAGCUCUGUUGUUAAAGAAGAACACGUAUGAGAGUAACUGUUCAUACGUUGACGGUAUUUAACCAGAAAGUCACGGCUAACUACGUGCCAGCAGCCGCGGUAAUACGUAGGUGGCAAGCGUUAUCCGGAUUUAUUGGGCGUAAAGAGAGUGCAGGCGGUUUUCUAAGUCUGAUGUGAAAGCCUUCGGCUUAACCGGAGAAGUGCAUCGGAAACUGGAUAACUUGAGUGCAGAAGAGGGUAGUGGAACUCCAUGUGUAGCGGUGGAAUGCGUAGAUAUAUGGAAGAACACCAGUGGCGAAGGCGGCUACCUGGUCUGCAACUGACGCUGAGACUCGAAAGCAUGGGUAGCGAACAGGAUUAGAUACCCUGGUAG